rnacentral:sRNA from 1 species
UGAUUAUUUUUUGCCGGAAGUGCUGUGU